GGAGGAGGAGCGGCGACGCCCGCAGCAGCCAUAGGAGGAGGUUGAAAAGAAUGAUACGCGUUAGGGUACAUCUGCUGAGGAAUCGUAGCUCCGUAAGGUGGAUGAAUGGGAGCACCAGCGGGUCUCUGCUGACCUAUGAAAGACAUGUGAGGGUCAAUUGCGCUAGGAGGAGCUGAGAUUGAUUGGUUAGCCAUAUGGUUACUAGUGGC
rnacentral:lncRNA from 1 species